UCCCUGGUGGCCCAGUGGCUAAGACUCUGCAGUCCCAAUGCAGGGGGCCUGGGUUCGAUCCCUGGUCGGGGAA
rnacentral:tRNA from 1 species